rnacentral:rRNA from 1 species
UACGUAGGCAGCAAGCGUUGUUCGGAAUUACUGGGCGUAAAGAGUGUGUAGGCGGUUCUCUAUGUUCGGUGUGAAAUCUCCCGGCUUAACUGGGAGGGUGCGCCGGAAACUGGAAGGCUUGAGUAUGGGAGAGGAAGGCGGAAUUCCUGGUGUAGCGGUGAAAUGCGUAGAUAUCAGGAGGAACACCUGCGGUGUAGACAGCUUUCUGGACCAUCACUGACGCUGAGACACGAAAGCGUGGGUAGCAAACAG